UACGAACUGUGCGAACGUUACUCGGAAUUACUGGGCGUAAAGCGCACGUAGGCGGAUUAAUAAGUUAGGGGUGAAAUCCCGGGGCUCAACCUCGGAACUGCCUUUGAUACUGUUAGUCUCGAGUCCGAUAGAGGUGAGUGGAAUUCCUAGUGUAGAGGUGAAAUUCGUAGAUAUUAGGAAGAACACCAGUGGCGAAGGCGGCUCACUGGCUCGAUACUGACGCUGAGGUGCGAAAGCGUGGGGAGCAAACAGG
rnacentral:rRNA from 1 species